rnacentral:rRNA from 1 species
AGUGAACGCUGGCGGUAGGCCUAACACAUGCCAGUCGAACGACAGCACAGUAAGAGCUUGCUCUUACGGGUGGCGAGUGGCGGACGGGUGAGGAAUACAUCGGAAUCUACUUUUUCGUGGGGGAUAACGUAGGGAAACUUACGCUAAUACCGCAUACGACCUACGGGUGAAAGCAGGGGAUCUUCGGACCUUGCGCGAUUGAAUGAGCCGAUGUCGGAUUAGCUAGUUGGCGGGGUAAAGGCCCACCAAGGCGACAAUCCGUAGCUGGUCUGAGAGGAUGAUCAGCCACACUGGAACUGAGACACGGUCCAGACUCCUACGGGAGGCAGCAGUGGGGAAUAUUGGACAAUGGGCGCAAGCCUGAUCCAGCCAUACCGCGUGGGUGAAGAAGGCCUUCGGGUUGUAAAGCCCUUUUGUUGGGAAAGAAAAGCAGCAGGUUAAUACCCCGCUGUUCUGACGGUACCCAAAGAAUAAGCACCGGCUAACUUCGUG